rnacentral:hammerhead_ribozyme from 1 species
AUCCAGCUGAGGCGUCCCAAAUAGGAGAAAACGCGUGUCUUGAAU